rnacentral:lncRNA from 1 species
AGCUUAAGACUUGCUGAUUUAGAGUGUUCGGAAAAAUAUGACACAUCCACCACCACUUCUCUACCUGCAGGAAGUCUUCACACAUCAUUCCCACAAAGAUCCAUCACUCCUGCCACCCAGGUCCAGCCUUUGGUUUCCACAAUGCACUCUGAGUCAGCUGGCAGCCCACAACCCCAAACAACUGUGCAUCCUCCAGGCUUCCAGUCACACACCUCAGCACCUGAGCCCCCUAUCAUGGGUUCUAUACCUCAGAAUCAGCCAUCAACCCAUCAGAUUCCACCAGUGAGUGCUAAUCUGGGAGAAGAUUUAUUUAGACUUGUUCAGCACAUUAACUACAUGAGUCUGAGAGAGGUUUUGGGAGCUUCGUUUUCCAACUUCCAGCUUGCCCAGCAGAGCUCCAUUUUGGCCCAGUCUAACAUGGCCAUCUCACACCCUAAUGUGGCAUCAUCCUGCUCUACCAACAUGAUACCACAGCCUACAGUCUUACCCAGUCAACCCAGUCUUUCUGCAACACCUCAGACAAAUACAGGAAAUAACCAUCCCCAUUUCAGCCACCAACAGGCCUCCCAGUGUAUGUUUACAGACCAGCAACCCACACAGAGUCCAGUGAAAGUCUCUUCAGUGGGAAUCGAUCCCACCAGUAGAAUAUGGCCUCUUCAUCCUGGUGGAGCAAAUGUUACAUUUCAAGAAAUGCAGCCACUAUCUGUUCAAGCAGGGUCACCAGUAACUCUACAGAGACAUACCAGUAGAUUAAUCCCCUCCUCGCAGGGACUUCUGGUUACCAGUGACAACAACCCCCCUGCUCCCAGUACUCCUGGUGCUGCAUUAAGUCUAUCAUCUCACAAGGUCAUGGGUGUGAAGUUACUCCAGCAUCAACAUCCUAUCCUCCCUCAGCAGAGUGACACCCAGCUCCCACCCACACAGUGCACCUCUAAAGCUACAAGUGUAGCAGAUCACCAGCACUGGUUUCGUCACCGAGACCAAAUUAUGUCCAUGAGAACAGGAAGAGAAGAGAAUAUAGGCUCAUCUGUGCCUAAAACAUCUCAUAGUUAUGAUGCUCCACCACAACAUCACAAUGUCUCACUACCUUACAUAUUAGCAGCUCAGAUAGCUGCACCCAUGCAGGGUCACCGCCUGCUGCACUUUCAGCCAGAUCUUAGUACCAAUGUUUCAUUUCCCAAAGUGAACGCAGCAUUUUUCCCCAAAGCCUCAACUUUCAUCAGAACUUGUGAAUCACCUGUGCUCAAGCUGCUGCGCAUUGAAUCCGGACCAAAAAUGAUUUCUCCCCUGGCGACUCCUUCAGCUCGAGUGACUCGCCUCACAUCCUUGGAGGAUGUGACCACUUCAGCGACAGAGAGGCAGAGCACUGAAAUAAUCAAUGGAAUCGAUAGAAGGGCUAUUUCUUCCACUCGCUUGAACCCCAGAAAAAGAGACAAAAGGAGAGAGGAGAAGGCAGGAAAACCUGCUGUCUCUUUCAGGCCAAAUGAGUCGAUUAUCCCUGCACAAGAGCCUUCAGAUAUACUUUUAGAUGAACAGCCUACGGGUCCUGAAGACACCACACCGACUCCAAGCUUUUCUACCAAAUGUGUAUCUUCUGACUCCUCACUGACUGGUCAGAGACUGCUGGAUAAAGUCAUGUCGACGUCAGCUGAGCUUCAUGUCUUUGCUGCGACUUGUAAAAAACCUCCAGAGUGCCAUGAUGCUUUUACCAACACAGAAGCAGUGUGCCCUCCCGUGCUUAUGGAUAAAGCUGUGUCAGCCCAGGCUUCCACGAUGACCAGCGCACAAAGUAUAGAGCAUUUCCAGGUGGGAAAUGAAAACCUUGUUCAGGAUAAAGGAAUAGCCCCACAGGAAACAAAGACUAUUUUGGAGCCUGGUGGCCGUCAGUUCAUAAGUGUCUUUGAUCUUGAUGACAUGACGCCACUUCAAGAUCUCAGCCCAAUCGUGAACCGUGAAGCACAAGAGGCUUCCUUAAAUCCCCCUCCUUCACCCACUGUUGCCGAGCUCCAUGUUCUCGCAACUUCUGUGAUCAGGAGUCAUUCUGCAGCUUCAGAUUCAGGCCCCCCUGCCAUGUUCUCAGAGAAGCUCCAGAUAUCCACCAAUCACACAGGUGACCACCAACAUGGCGAGGACUCUGUGUCUGUAACACAAGCUCCAUGUCACUCUGAGGUGUGCAAAGCUAUAAUGGAGAGUGCUGCACCUCACCGGUCCUCCUUCUCCUCCAAUCCCACCGUUUGGUUCUCAUCCCGCCUGUCAGAAAUGGACGCUCAGCUCGUUGCAAUCCAGAACAUUGCAGAUCAUCUAGAAAAUGAUUUCUCAAAUACCAGUAUGCUGGUGAAUGCUCCUGAGAAGCUCUCCCCAAACAAAGCUCCUACUGUAAAACCAAGCAGAACCCUGAAGAAAAGAGUCAGGUUGUUUGUCCCACAUAGAGAAACAGCUGCAAAUCUGGACCUACUUCCUGAACCUGGUGCCUUUGAAGAAAAGCAGGAAGAUCAUGAAGAAUAUGUUCUUCAUCAGGACUUCAGUUCCCCUGGAAGAAAGACGGCGUGGCAACAAUCGACUCCUCUCAGUCACAGAAAGGCUCCUUCUCCGCUUUGCUCCCCACCAAGUAAAAAUUGUGCUUCUCCUAAACUUUUUUUCACUUUUACAAAGGAUUGUCAAAGUAUGGAAGCCCGUUUUCACCACUACAUAAAAAAAAUCACCAC